GGGCCCGCACAAGCGGUGGAGUAUGUGGUUUAAUUCGAUGCAACGCGAAGAACCUUACCAGGGUUUGACAUCCUGCGAAUUUCUGGGAAACCGGAAAGUGCCUUCGGGAGCGCAGUGACAGGUGGUGCAUGGCUGUCGUCAGCUCGUGUCGUGAGAUGUUGGGUUAAGUCCCGCAACGAGCGCAACCCACGUCUUUAGUUGCCAGCAUUUAGUUGGGCACUCUAGAGAGACCGCCGGUGAUAAACCGGAGGAAGGUGUGGAUGACGUCAAGUCAUCAUGCCCCUUAUGUCCAGGGCUGCACGCAUGCUACAAUGGCAAGUACAACGAGUCGCAAUACCGCGAGGUGGAGCAAAUCUCUUAAAGCUUGUCUCAGUUCGGAUAGGAGUCUGCAACUCGACUCCUUGAAGUUGGAGUCGCUAGUAAUCG
rnacentral:rRNA from 1 species